rnacentral:lncRNA from 10 species
CUGUCUCAGGGGUCUCAUCAGCAGGCACAGGGGUGGCACUCAGUGCGGGCAUCCGUUUGUGGGUGCCUGCCGAGGCCCCAGACCCCGUGACGUGGGGAGACUUAUAGUCCCCAGGGGAGGGCGCCCGGGCCCGGCCUGAGCUGGAGGUGGUGGUGGAGAAGCGCAUGAUGGGCCCAAAGCCAGAGAAGACCACCUUCUGCUCAAAAAGGCUAUGGCUGGAAGACUUUUUCCCCUUUGACUCCCUGCUGCUCUCAGAGGUCUCCUGCGUGCUGGCCUCGUGGUGGGAGGAAGAGGAAGCCGAGGAGGAGACCUGAAGGAGAGGAGAGAGGAAGGUUCAACACCAGGCAGGGAAGAUGGAAGCCAAGAGGGAGAUGAAAACAGUCCCAGAGUCUGAAGAGAUUUACUCAUUGGUCCAUUCAUUCACUGAAUACUUAGGGCGUCUAAGAAGGCGGGACCUAUGCUGGAAGUGGCGAGGCAGAGAAGAGGACCCACAGGAGAAUGGGCUUCUCUGGUGCCAUCCUGGAGCCCUCCAGCUACUACCCCAAACUUCGGCCCCCUGGCUUUCCACCCAUUCUCUGACCACCCCAUGCUCUUCCUAGACAACCUGAUUGCACACACUAAGCGUUUGCCAGGACAGCCUAUCCUUACUCUUCCUGGGAAAUCUCUCAUCCUUUAAAAUCCAGCUUGGAAGUCCCUCUUCCCUGAAGCCUCCCUAAAUACCUCAGGUGGAACAAGACAUUCUGUCCCCUUAUUUCCAGAGAACUGUGCACACAUGACCACAUGUCAACAGCUGCCACUCUGCACUGAAAUGUUCUGUCCUAUCUGAGGCACCAGAAACCAAAGAGAGCGGCAGGGUGGUGGUUGAAGGAGCGUGGGCUCUAAGUCGGGCAGAGCAAGGUAUGAGCCUGAUGGGUUCUGCCCUUCACCGCCAUGUUUUUGUUUUUUCUUAAUUUAUUUUUGAGAUGGAGUUUCACUCUUGUUGCACAGGCUGGAGUGCAAUGGUGCGAUCUCGGCUCAC